rnacentral:lncRNA from 1 species
AGCAUGUUCUAGAGCAUGAGAACAAAGAGAUGACUGAAAACAGUGUUUGUCCUCAUAAAGUCCCUAGUCCAGCAACAGAACUCAGUACCAGGUGGCCCGUGGCUGUCCGUCCCUCUCAGCCCAUUUGGAGGUGACUCUUGCUUCUCUCUUGAUGGAUCAGCUUUCACUGCCCACCCCCAGGGACAUGACCAAAGAGGUUCCUCCUCUCUACCCCUAAGCGGUGAGUCCAUAGGCUCCCUGGAGAGUUCAGUCAUCUCUUCUGGAGCAAGUCACCUAGCAGCAGUGAACCUCCAUUUCUUUAUCUCAAAAAUGGGAGUCAAUAAUCCCUGCCUUAUUGAUGUCACUGGAUUGUCAUAAAAAUGACAUCAUUAUGUAAAGGUCUUUGUAACCUGCCACGUACUCUAUAAUGAUGAGAUACUCCUUAUAUUAAACCAAAGAAAGAAAUGACUCUGCUAAAGAUGGAAUUUUAGACAUCAAAUUAGAACUGAGAGACACUCAAAGAUUCUGGACUGUCUUCUGAGCAGAGAAUAAAAAGUAGCUAUCAUCUGCCCACCACAGACAUGAAAAAACAAGAAAGACAGUUUGCAGAGAGGAGAGAAUGAAACAGGACUGUAGAGAGAAGCAGAGACAAGAAAUGGAUCUUCCCAUCUCGUCAUGAGCUUCCACUUCCAGACCCUGUACUCAGUGGAUCAGCUGGCACCACGCAGAU